rnacentral:rRNA from 1 species
GAGGCUUCGGCAAUGGGGGAAACCCUGACCGAGCGACGCCGCGUGAAGGAUGAAGGCCCUUGGGUUGUAAACUUCUUUUGUUGGGGAAGAAAUGCGAUCAGGUGAAUAAUCUGGUCGUUUGACGGUACCCUACGACAAAGCUCCGGCUAACCCCGUGCCCGCAGCCGCGGGAACACGGGGGGAGCAAGCGUUGUUCGGAAUCACUGGGCGUAAAGGGCGUGUAGGCGGCCCGAUUAGUGGGAUGUGAAAUGCCCCGGCUUACCCGGGGACCUGCAUCCCAAACUGUCGGGCUUGAGUAUGGGAGAGGAUGAGGGAAUUCCUGGUGUAGCGGUGAAAUGCGUAGAUAUCAGGAGGAACACCGGUGGCGAAGGCGCUCAUCUGGCCCAAUACUGACGCUGAGGCGCGAAAGCUGGGGAAGCAAACGGG